GGGCCCAUAGCUCAGGGGUUAGAGCAGUCGGCUCAUAACCGAUUGGUCCUUGGUUCAAAUCCAAGUGGGCCCACCA
rnacentral:tRNA from 1 species